rnacentral:tRNA from 1 species
AAAGACUUAGUUAAUUUAUAACAUUAGCUUGUCAAGCUAAAAUUAUCUGAAGAUAGUUUUUA